rnacentral:misc_RNA from 1 species
UAUGUUAUCUUUAUAAAUACUUUUUUAGCUUUAUGAUGAUUUAGAUCUAGAUGUUUCUUUUCAGACUUUGUGAAAGUUUUUUUUUAAAGUUGAAUCUAUUUUUCAGAUAAAAUGGCAGAAACUACUAUGGAAGAAUUAAAUAUAGAAAAGUAUGAGAUAAAAGAAGAGAUAGUUUCCUUCAAGGAGGAAAUCCUUCCCUCUUCUACUUUAGAGGCUACAUUUACUGUUAAUCUACAUAAAGAUGAUAUAAAGAUAGAAAAUACAGGAAUACAAGAUGUACUGAAAACUGGAAUACAGGAAACAGUAGAAAAUAAACCUACAAUGAACAACAAUUUUCUCAUUGUAAAUUUGGUCAACUAACAUAAUAUAAAGAAUAGUUUCGUUU